rnacentral:rRNA from 1 species
GCACAAGCGGAGGAACAUGUGGUUAAUCGAUGAUACGCGAGGAACCUUACCUGGGCUUAAAUGUAGAGUGCAUUUUUAGAGAUAGAAAUUCCCUUCGGGCUUUCUGCAAGGUGCUGCAUGGUUGUCGUCAGCUCGUGCCGUGAGGUGUCGGGUUAAGUCCCAUAACGAGCGCAACCCUUAUCGUUAGUUGCCAUCUGGUAAUGCAGGGGACUCUAGCGAAACUGCCACCGUAAGGUGAGAGGAAGGUGGGGAUGACGUCAAAUCAGCACGGCCCUUAUGUCCAGGGCUACACACGUGUUACAAUGGUCGGUACAGAGGGCAGCUACCUGGUGACAGGAUGCUAAUCUCGAAAACCGGUCUCAGUUCGGAUCGAAGUCUGCAACUCGACUUCGUGAAGCUGGAUUCGCUAGUAAUCGCGCAUCAGCUAUGGCGCGGUGAAUACGUUCCCGGGCCUU